GCCGGGCAUGGUGGCGGGUGCCUGUAGUCCCCGCUACUUGGGAGGCUGAGGCAGAAGAAUCGCUUGAACCCGGGAGGCAGAGGUUGCAGUGAGCCGAGAUCACGCCACUGCACUCCAGCCUGGGCGACAGAGUGAGACUCUGUCUCAA
rnacentral:sRNA from 1 species